AUGGCGGCAUCGGUGGCCUGCGCCUUCUUCUUCGACGCCGAGCCGGUGGGCGAGCCCGGCAUGCCGGCGCUGGACGCGUGCGCGCUCUGCGCCAAGCCGCUGGCGCGUGACAGCGACGUCUUCAUGUACAGAGGGGACACGCCCUUCUGCAGCGAGGAGUGCCGCCACGAGCAGAUGCACCUCGACGCCGUCUCCGCCAGGCAGGCCGCCCGGAGGGUGCAGCGGUUCUCCGCGGAGGCGGAGUGCCACCGUGGGCAGCGGCAGUCCAGGAAGGUGUCCAUCGCCAGCUAG
rnacentral:rRNA from 1 species